rnacentral:pre_miRNA from 1 species
UGAUGAUGAUGAUGACGAUGAUGAUGAUGAUGAUGAUGAUGAUAGCGAUGAUGAUCUUGAUCAUCAUCAUCAUCGUCAUAAUCAUCGUCAUUAUCA